UACGGAGGGUGCGAGCGUUAAUCGGAAUUACUGGGCGUAAAGCGUGCGUAGGCGGUUCGCUGUGUCCGAUGUGAAAGCCCCGGGCUUAACCUGGGAAUGGCAUUGGAAACUGGCGGGCUUGAGUGCGGCAGAGGGGGGUGGAAUUCCGCGUGUAGCAGUGAAAUGCGUAGAGAUGCGGAGGAACACCGAUGGCGAAGGCAGCCCCCUGGGUCGACACUGACGCUCAGGCACGAAAGCGUGGGGAGCAAACAGG
rnacentral:rRNA from 1 species